rnacentral:misc_RNA from 1 species
GGUUUAUCGUUUAUUUGAGUAUUGAAAUUUAAAUAAAAGGAAUAAAAAUAUUUUUCAAUUUUUAAAAAUUUCAUUACAUUUGAUAAAUUUGAUCAAAUUUUUUUCAUCAUUUAUCAUAAUAAAAAAUGUUAAAACUUAUAUUUGCUAGUAUUUGAUUAAUUUUCAUUUUCUGUGUAAGAGUUAUCAAAGAAAAAAGAGUAACCAUUAAACUGAAUUGCUAGAACUGGUUUUAAUGGUUCAGCUUAUAAUUUUUUCUGUUAAAGCCAGUUGGGUCAAAAUUUUUGACCAAGGGUCAGUUGCUUGAAUUGUGAAUCCAAGUGGCCUUAAGGUUUUGGAUUGGAUGCUUGAAUAUGAUACUAGAAUCAUCCAUUACAGUAUUGUGGUGUUGUUCAGCCUGUGGUUGUGUUGUUUUUCUGGAAGAUUAGAAAAAUGAUUUACCAGUCAAUAUUAUAGAGCCUGAUAUAGGUAAAUUCAUGAAUUCUAUUUGAUUCUGAUAGAGGAGAGAGCUUAAACAAUAAUAGAAAUAUGAGAUGGAAAAGACGGGAAGGCAAUUUCAUUAAUGAAAUAAGGAAAUACAAUAACAAUUCCUGCAACACAUGUAACAGCACCAUUCUGUUAUCCAGCUCAGCUGCCUCAUUCCUUCCAGAAUUCUCCCUUGGCCCAUCUUUUGCCAUUGCUCUUAGCUUUCUUCUUGUAUACAUCUCUAAGCUUCCCAGGCCCCUUUGAUCCAUAGCCCAACUGCCUUGCACCUGCCAUGGCAGAUUCUUUUUAGUCUUAACUUCUUAAUGUGCAUGUGAACCAUGAAUUUGUUUUGACAUAACUGUUAGAGGAACAUACAAUCUCCUUUCUAGUUACUUGUUGAUCUUUAAACACAUUUCUCUCAUUUUAUCUGAUUUUGAAGAGGUGUGAUGAUUUGAUACUCUAAUAAGGCAUGAACCUUUACAAAAUUGUGUAACAUUUUCGCUUACAUGCCUCAAAACCGAAAUAGAAACCUGAAAAUUUUUCCUUCCCAAAAUGGUGCAGUUCAAACACUGCAGCAGUAUAAUGUCUUUAACAACCUGGUUCUUCAACAAUUAAAGUAAGUAGGUGCUUUGUUUUUGGAUUUUAUGUUCAUUAUGACAUAGGACAAGAUUGGAAAGUCUAUCAUAAUUCUUCCUUUAAGCUUGACUAGGGCUUGAUAAUCUAGGAUUUUAGGACUGGAAAUUGAGAAGGCCAAAAGGGUUCAGGGCUUAUAAAUCUAUUUUUGCUUGAAUUGGUUUAUGAUUCAAGAAUUCAAAGGGCUGGUAUUGUUGAAGAACAAGUUGCGGAAUUUUUCUGAGUAGCAAAAAAGAGGGGACUUUAUUGUUUUAUUUGUUGGCUUUACCAGGGAGAUGGAAAGUUAUGUGAAAAUUUUUUUUAAUGGUCGUACAAAUCAUUUAUAUAAAUUCUGGCACUAUUAUUCAAUUCUCAACUCAUUGGCAGUUAUGCCACAUCCCUUCCCCAACAUACAAACACACAGUCCUACCUGUGGUUUCUUUUGCUUAUCAUCCUUUUCUUUAUAAAUGCUCAUUUUUGGUUGAUGCCAAAAGCGUAGAAGGUUUAAUGAAGACGUGGAAUAAAUGUGCUCAUUCAUAGACUCUUAGGCGACUGCCUUACUAGCAGUGGUGUAUUGAAGAAAUUCACUUUUUUCUUAUUACUUGCCUCACCAGGUGUCUGGGCAUUUUACUUAUG